AUACGUAGGGAGCGAGCGUUGUCCGGAAUUACUGGGCGUAAAGGGCGCGAAGGCUGCGAUUCAAGUCAACUGUCAAAUUCCGGGGCUUCACCCCGGCCUGCAGUUGAAACUGAAUUGCUCGAGGCGCAGAGAGGCAGACAGAAUUCCUGGUGUAGCGGUGAAAUGCGUAGAUAUCAGGAAGAAUACCAGUGGCGAAGGCGGUCUGCUGGCUGCGAACUGACGCUCAAGCGCGAAAGCCAGGGGAGCAAACGGGAUUAGAUACCCCGGUAGUCCUGGCAGUAAACGAUGUAUGCUGGGUGUGAGAUCAGCGAUGAUUUCGUGCCGAAGUUAACGCGAUAAGCAUACCGCCUGGGGAGUACGGUCGCAAGAUUGAAACUCAAAUGAAUUGACGGGG
rnacentral:rRNA from 1 species